GCUAAACGCGAAGAACCUUACCAAGGCUUGACAUGCAUCUCUAAGCGCGUGAAAGCGCGUGACUCUUCGGAGGAUUUGCACAGGUGCUGCAUGGCCGUCGUCAGCUCGUGUCGUGAGAUGUUGGGUUAGGUCCCGCAACGAGCGCAACCCUUGUGAACAGUUGCCAGCACUUAAGGUGGGAACUCUGUUCAGACUGCCCAGAUCAACUGGGAGGAAGGUGGGGACGACGUCAGGUCAGUAUGGCCCUUACGCCUAGGGCUGCACACGUACUACAAUGCCCAGCACAAUGAGAACCGAGACCGCGAGGUGGAGGAAAUCUAAAAACUGGGCCCAGUUCGGAUUGGAGGCUGCAACUCGCCUCCAUGAAGUUGGAAUCGCUAGUAAUGGCGCAUCAGCUACGGCGCCGUGAAUACGUUCCCGGGUCUUGUACACACCG
rnacentral:rRNA from 1 species